rnacentral:rRNA from 1 species
GACGAACGCUGGCGGCGUGCUUAACACAUGCAAGUCGAGCGGUAAGGCCCUUUCGGGGGUACACGAGCGGCGAACGGGUGAGUAACACGUGGGUGACCUGCCCUCAGCUCUGGGAUAAGCCUGGGAAACCGGGUCUAAUACUGGAUAUGACUCCAUGACGCAUGUUGUGGGGUGGAAAGCCUUGUGCGGCUGAGGAUGGGCCCGCGGCCUAUCAGCUUGUUGGUGGGGUGANGGCCUACCAAGGCGACGACGGGUAGCCGGCCUGAGAGGGCGACCGGCCACACUGGGACUGAGACACGGCCCAGACUCCUACGGGAGGCAGCAGUGGGGAAUCUUGCGCAAGUGGGCGAAAGCCUGACGCAGCGACGCCGCGUGAGGGAUGACGGCCUGG